rnacentral:lncRNA from 10 species
CUUAAGAGUCAUCACCACUCCCUAAUCUCAAGUACCCAGGGACACAAAAACUGCGGAAGGCUGCAGGGACCUCUGCCUAGGAAAGCCAGGUAUUGUUCAAGGUUUCUCCCCAUGUGAUAGUCUGAAAUAUGGCCUCGUGGGAAGGGAAAGACCUGACCGUCCCCCAGCCCGACACCCGUAAAGGGUCUGUGCUGAGGAGGAUUAGUAUAAGAGGAAGGCAUGCCUCUUGCAGUUGAGACAAGAGGAAGGCA